CCUACGGGAGGCAGCAGUGGGGAAUAUUGCGCAAUGGGCGAAAGCCUGACGCAGCGACGCCGCGUGAGGGAUGAAGGUCUUCGGAUCGUAAACCUCUGUCAGCAGGGAAGAACGGUCACUGUGCUAAUCAGCAGUGAAUUGACGGUACCUGAAAAGGAAGCACCGGCUAACUCCGUGCCAGCAGACGCGGUAAUACGGAGGGUGCGAGCGUUAAUCGGAUUUACUGGGCGUAAAGCGCUCGUAGGAGGUAUGUCAAGUCAAGGGUGAAAUCCCCGCGCUCAACGUGGGAACUGCCUUUGAAACUGGCAAACUGGAGUGUGUGAGAGGAUAGUGGAAUUCCAGGUGUAGGGGUGGAAUCCGUAGAUAUCUGGAGGAACAUCAGUGGCGAAGGCGACUAUCUGGCACAUAACUGACGCUGAGGAGCGAAAGCGUGGGUAGCAAACAGGAUUAGAUACCCGAGUAGUC
rnacentral:rRNA from 1 species